AGGGAGACCAAGGGGACAUAGAAAGACAAUGUCAUAAAUCAACUCCUUGGCUCACAUUGUCUUCCUAAGGAACGACAUGGCUACGAUCCGACU